rnacentral:tRNA from 1 species
GGGGAUUUAGCUCAGCGGCAUAAGCACCUGCCUUGCAAGCAGGCGGUAGUGAGUUGAGUUCAAUCCCUG